GUAAGAGGACAACUUGCAAGCAUCGUUUCCUUCCUUUCACCGAGUGAGUUCCUGACCUUGAACCUAACUUGUCAAAUGUCCUGGUAAGUGCCUUUACCCACUGGGUCAUUUCUCCAGCCCGAUCCUGGGUUGUUUCACAGAGUACUCUGGAAGGUUUGUGAGGUUCUUUACUGAGCAAUUUCUGGGUGUCAGCUGAGGCUUCCUGCAUCUGAAUUGGUGUGAGGCCUAGCACUCUGCCAUACACAGGGACUCUGUCCUUCAUGUGCACUGUGUGCAGGCUCGAAGGCUUCUUCUGCUGCCAGUACUUAUGGUUCUCACAUGCUUUGGGCUGGCAUUGCCCAGCAUAGUCUGGCUGAGCUCUGUAGAUCUACUCUGUUGACCCUGUAGCCCAGUAAGUCAGUACAGAUACACCUCCAGAGGAGCAGGCAGAGAGACAGAGCUGGCUUCAGAGACUCCUGUAUAAAAGCCCUGGAGACCAUGCUCGAGCUUUACUGACCACUGCCCUGCCUUAACCCUGCAUAGACCUAGCUCUUUGCCUUGUGCCCUGACCCUUCUUUGCCUAUGACAGUCACUGUGGUGUAGCAAAAGACCAGGGCUCAGCUGCACAGACCCAAUUGCAGCUGUGUGCUCUUGGGAGCAUUGCUUUACCUCCGUGGGCCUGAGAAUUCUCACCAACUAGUAGAAACCAGAAGCUGAGCUUUUUUGCUGGUUUGUGGUAGGAAUCACUCAAGGAGACAGUGCUGGGUAUGUAUGUAUGUAGCAGGCAUUCAGGGAAAAUGAUUCCUUUCCUUACUUCUUCUGUCCUGAACUCUGCAUCACCGAUGAGUGGGAGUCUUGGCCAGAGGGAGGCCUUGACAUCAGCAUCCUGGGAUCACCAGCAUCUGAGACAGUCCAUAUGGCCCUGGCACUUUGUCAAGUACAGCAGAGAUAUAAAGGGCUUGGAGUGAAGGAGCUGGAGACUGGACAGUAGGAAGCCGACACGCUGGAAGAAGGUAUCUUAACAGGACAGCCAAAUAGACCUGCCUUGGAUGGUCUCAGCCCAUCUCAUACACUUAGUACCCUUCCAUCUGCCUCUGGUCUCCUGCAUGAAGGAUUUAUAUUUGAAAUGGGAACAAGUAGUCACAACCAUGAGAAGACCCAUGAAGGAAGGACUAUUCUCUUCCCAGACUGGUUUAAUUGACAGAGGAGAAGGAGGAAGUGGGACGAGACAGAGAGCACAGCGUGCCUACAACCAGUGGACCCUGGAUGAAGCAAAGACAGGAAUCCAGCUCAGCUCUUCUUGCAACAUCUCUACAAAGUCGCGCUUUUCUAAAUAUGAUUUUAAAAUUAAAAUUCUAAAGAAUGCA
rnacentral:sRNA from 1 species